GAUGAACGCUAGCGGGAGGCCUAACACAUGCAAGCCGAGCGGUAUUGUUUCUUCGGAAAUGAGAGAGCGGCGUACGGUGCGGAACACGUGUGUAACCUGCCUUUAUCUGGGGGAUAGCCUUUCGAAAGGAAGAUUAAUACUCCAUAAUAUAUUGAACGGCAUCGUUUAAUAUUGAAAGCUCCGGCGGAUAGAGAUGGGCACGCGCAAGAUUAGCUAGUUGGUGAGGUAACGGCUCACCAAGGCGAUGAUCUUUAGGGGCCUGAGAGGUGAUCCCCCACACUGGUACUGAGACACGGACCAGACCUCCUACGGGAGGCAGCAGUGAGGAAUAUUGGUCAAUGGGUGCAAGCCUGAACCAGCCAUCCCGCGUGAAGGA
rnacentral:rRNA from 1 species